rnacentral:tRNA from 1 species
GGGCAGUUGUUCCGAGCGGCAAAGGAGACUGACUGUAAAUCAGUUGGCAAACGCCUCCGGGGGUUCGAGUCCCUCACUGCCCA